rnacentral:rRNA from 1 species
GAUGAACGCGGGCGGCGUGCCGAAUACAUGCAAGACGAGCGAACAGACGAGGAGCUUGCCCCCCUGUCGUUAGCGCCGGACGGGUGAGCAACACGGGGACAACCUACCCAUAAGACUGGGAUAACUUAGGGACACCGGAGCUAACACCCGAUAAUAUAUUGAACCUCAUGGUUCAAUAGUGAAAGACGGUUACGCAGUCACUUACAGACGGAUCCGCGCCGCACUCGGUAGUUGGUAAGGUAACUGCUUCCCAAGGCGACGAUGCGUAGCCGACCCGAGAGGGCGAUCGGCCACACUGGACCUGAGACACGGUCGAGUCUCCUACGGGAGGCAGCAGCUGUCAAUCUUCCGCACCGGCCGCACACCUGCCGGAGCAACGCCGCGUGAGUCAUGAAGGUCCUCCGAUCCUAAAACUCUGUUCCUAGGGAAGCCCCAAUGUGUAAGUACCUAUGCACGCCUUGACGGUACCUGGUCAGAAAGCCAGGGCUAACUUCGUG